rnacentral:lncRNA from 1 species
CAUGAUGUUCUUCAUGACGGCGACGUGGAUUCGACGUGAUUGACGGCGGUUCGUGAGUUUGGAUCGUGAGCUUUGUGGAUUCGGAGUGGAGGUGUUUCGUGGAUUCGAAACGUGGCGUUCGUGGAUUCGAACGUGAGGGUAUGGACAACCCGGAGGAUUGCGCGAGAUUCAUAGGAGGUUAAGAGAGGUCGAGUCCGUGGAGUCGGUAAUCACCUUGUAAUCUUUUCUCUUAGUGAAUUAUUUUUUCGCGUGUUGGUCCCGCGGGUUUUUUACUCCAAGUUGGAGUUUUCCCACGUAAAUCUCGGUGUGAUUUUUAUUUUCCGCAUUUAUUUUUAUCGCAUUGAAAUUUGUGGUUUUUGGCUUUUACACCUAUUCACCCCCUCUAGGUGUUAGAUACAAUCUAGAUAGAUCCUUGGGCUCCUUUAAAACUUUCAAAUUCGAUCGUAGAUUCGCGACGAAAUCCAUCCUUUCAGUCUCCACAAAAACACUAUAUAUAUAUAUAUCAAAUUUAAAUUUAUUUUCAAAUUCAAAUUUGAAUUCUCAUAUUUUAAAA